AAUUCUCUCGGGUUCUGGCAAUGGCCCUCGGAAAGGCCAGAAUCCUUUCGGGCCGGCCCUCACGGGACCGGCCUUUUUUUG
rnacentral:ncRNA from 1 species